CAAAAGAUUAUCUUUUCUCUUUCACUUUCUCUUGUCUUCAAUAAUCUUAACACUCUAAACUUCCACCAUUAAAUCCUUCAUUUUUUACACUUAAUGAUGCCAAUCCUUUUUCUCAACAUUCUUCGCUUUUCUCCUCUUGGUUCCUUGGAAACUUCCAUUUAAAGGUUUUUGUUUUUAUUUAUCUUCUUUUUUUUUUUUUUUUUACUCUCAGUGAUCCUUUUUUGUUUUAUUAUAUUUUUUGACUUAGCAUUAAUUUUUUUUUCAAAAUUUCUUUUUGUGUUGUUGGGUUGUUAAAAAGGAUUAGAUUUGAUGGGUCAAUGGCGGACAUGGGUGAAGCGGGGAAGAUGGAGAACGGUGAGAUGGUUGUGGAGACAAGCUUUACGCGUACCGUGGGUUGGGAGCAUCAAGGAAGCUUUGGAGGAGUUGAAGCUCAAUCCUCUCCAUCUUCUUGAUUUGAUUAGAUUUGAUGGGAUGAUAAGAUUUCGGGUGCACCUCAUUAUGCAUAUAGAGUUGACUGUUGACGGUAAAAUAUGUGGUUUUUCUUUAUCAUUAAUUCUUCUUGAUUUGAUAUCCGUAUCUUAUUGAUUUGUUUUCUAAUAUUUUUGCGUGGUUGAAGGAUAAAGGUCAUCCCUCCUCGCUCGUGCAGCUUGUAGUCAUCCUCAUGCAACCUGUAUUACUUGCUCUUAUAAAUAAUUUGGUUAUGGUAGAAGAUCAUCGGGCAUCGCACUUCCAAAUCUCUGCCCAUUGUGAGUCUUUAUAAUCCUUCAAUUUUCAGUUUUUGAUUGUAUUUAUUUCUUAUUUGAUCAUAUUUACGUGGUAUUGUAGAAUUAUAUUGCACAUGCUUAAAUUUCGUGAAAGUGGAGGUAGAUAUGGUUCUUUAGAUCUAAUAGAAAGAACUGAAAAAAAUGAUUGUAAUUUCUUAUCAUAGAAAAUCUAAGAAAUUUAAAAACAAAUAAAUCAAAUAAAAAGAAACAAAAAAAAGAAAAUAACUAUCAAUUUACAAAUAAUACAUAAAAAUAGAAAGAAAUGAAAAAAAAUGAACUAUCAAAUAUGAAAAAAAAAGCCCAUAUAAAGAAAUUUAGAAAUAAUUAAUUUAGUAAGAAAUAAUAAAUAAUUUAGUAAAUUGAAUCCAGAGACAAAAAAAUCAAUCAAAACAAACAAAAAGAGUUAAACAUAAAUUAAUUUAGAAAUAAGGCCACAUAAAGAAAUCUAGAAAUAAAAAAUAAUUUAGUAAAUUGCAUCCAGAAACAAGAAAUCAUCCAAAUUAAUUUAGAAAGAAACAAAAAAAAAAAAUGAAUUAUCAAAUUAGAAAUAGUAUGAGUAAAAAAUUGAUUAUCAAAUAUGAAAUAAUAACUAGAAAUAAUAAAUAAUUUUGUAAGAAAUAAUAAUCUAGAAAAAAGAAGAAGCCCAUAUUAAUUUAAGGGGUUGAGGGUGCAGGUGCACACCUGUAGACUGUUAAUUUUUCUUUUUCUUUUUUGUCAAAUAUCUCCUUUUUUCUGUGUAUAUGUGAUCGUAGUUUUAAUUUAUUUUAAACAAUCAUGUAUCAGGCGAGGCGAAGAUGUGGAGAAACAUAAUCAUCAUAUGUUAUUUUAAUCUCUUACUUUUUAUUUUUAAGUUAUUUAAUUUAAUACAUAAAAUUAUAUUUUUGGUUAAUUAAUAAAUUAUUUAGUACUUUACAUGCCUAGUUUGAGGAGUAAAGUAAUUUGCAUGUAUUAUUUCAAUGUAGUCAGGCAAUCUAUGAUAUGUUGAUGCUUAAUCCUACGAAACUAUUAUAAGAAAAUUUAAGUUGACUAUCAGCAGGAUGAUGGCAGUGAAAUCAAUUGCUCUCUUGUUGAUCUAUUUGGUCCUCACCUUAUAGUUAUAGUGACGGAAAAAUAUGUGGUUUAUAAUCAUUCUUAUUGAUUUGUUUUUCAAUACUUUUGCGUUGCUCUAGGAGAAUGGUCGUCUCCCCUAUUGUUGCUCGUAGAGGAUCAUCGGGCACAGCAGUUUCAAAUCUCUGCCCAUU
rnacentral:lncRNA from 1 species